UCGAAACCUGCAUAGCAGAACCACACGUGAACAUGUUAUUACAUUGCAAGGGGGAGGGGUGUUGGCUUGCCUAGUCCCUUCCCCAAAUGUCAAGUGACAUUCCUUUGUGAUUGUCGCUUGGCAAAGUAACCAACCCCCGGCGCGUUAUGCGUCAAGGAAUAUAAUCAUAAGUUAGCCUAUCCAGGAUCGGGUUUCCGAUGUAUGGAUGUGGCACUAAAGUAAAUCAUUAAAUGA
rnacentral:misc_RNA from 1 species